rnacentral:snoRNA from 1 species
GCAUAGGUUUGGAUUUAUGGCAGGCCCAUCCCCCUGAACCUCUCAUAGUGUCCCAUGCCAGAGCAAACUGAGCCCUGAAUAUUGCCUGGCCUUGUCCAUAGGCCUUGGCACUGAAGCAAGUUGCACAGUG